UGGAGCUUUCCUUAGGAAUUUCAUGCUCAAAAAUCUGUACCUAUUGCAAACCAAGAUCAAAAACCUUAACGUGAAAUGGUUUAGUCCAUUCGUGUACAGAAUUAGAACAGCAAUACAAAUAUAUCCAACCGAAAAUGCCGAGACAAUAAAAAUGUUAGACCUGAGUAGCGAUUUGAUGGCUGGGUACAGCAGCACUGGAUU